UGCUGAACAAACUUGUGCAGGGAGCCGUUGGGUUACAUGCCCAGUGAGUACUCGCAUCAUAAGUGCUUUGUAGUUCCUUUUUGCACUAAUCAGCUGAUUUUCUUCUGGCUUUAUAUACACCAAGUAUACUGUGGUAUAUGACUUUGCCACACUGCCUCUGAUCUUUAUACAGAUCUUAUGCAGGUAUGUGAAUUUCUCUGUAGCAAUUCCCUUUCAAUGAACCAUGUGUCUGCUUUGAUACAUUGUAUACAAUUUGUUUAUUAUUCUUUGUUUCUUUUUAUGGUUGUCCCGUUUGGAGGCUGGGACACCUUUAUAAUUGUAGCCAAUUGUUGUUAUUUUCUUAACAAUCAUUCUGUGAAAUCCACAUGGUUCUUCUAUUGAACUAGCACUGCAGCCUAAUUACUCACUGAUGUUCCUGGUUAAUUAACUCCUCAAAUCGCUAUUUAUGAAUACGCGCAUGACCAGUUCAUUCUCGGCAAGACUCUGUGUCUGUCACCAACUAUGGGCAACUCGUGGGUAAGAAUUUGUUGUCUUUUAAGCUCUGGAACCAUUUUACCAUUAUAUGCCAUCCCAGAUUUAUGCUACCCAAUAUUUUUGAUUGUGUAUCAUAUCUCAUUGGUUAAUGUUUUUGUAUAUACCUUUUCAGUUGGUUAUUCUGACUGGAUAUCGCUCCCUCCCCUGAAGAAGCGGAAGUCCGCGAAACAUGUAGGGUCCAUGCGAUUUCCUUGUCCAGUCGCAUCUGUAUUUCCAACUGAUUGAUGCUUUCUGUUACCCACUGAAUCAAAUCAACUACUGGUUAUCCACUUCCUUUUAAUAUUAAUCAAUUGUAUAUUUUGUAUAUCUUGUAUUUAUGAAUAAAGUAUUUUUGUAAAUUUUCUAAC